rnacentral:rRNA from 1 species
UUAAGUUAUUAAGGGCGCACGGUGGAUGCCUUGGCACUAGAAGCCGAUGAAGGACGUUACUAACGACGAUAUGCUUUGGGGAGCUGUAAGUAAGCUUUGAUCCAGAGAUUUCCGAAUGGGGAAACCCAGCAUGAGUUAUGUCAUGUUAUCGAUAUGUGAAUACAUAGCAUAUCAGAAGGCACACCCGGAGAACUGAAACAUCUUAGUACCCGGAGGAAGAGAAAGAAAAUUCGAUUCCCUUAGUAGCGGCGAGCGAAACGGGAAGAGCCCAAACCAACAAGCUUGCUUGUUGGGGUUGUAGGACACUCUAUACGGAGUUACAAAGGACGACAUUAGACGAAUCAUCUGGAAAGAUGAAUCAAAGAAGGUAAUAAUCCUGUAGUCGAAAAUGUUGUCUCUCUUGAGUGGAUCCUGAGUACGACGGAGCACGUGAAAUUCCGUCGGAAUCUGGGAGGACCAUCUCCUAAGGCUAAAUACUCUCUAGUGACCGAUAGUGAACCAGUACCGUGAGGGAAAGGUGAAAAGCACCCCGGAAGGGGAGUGAAAUAGAACCUGAAACCGUGUGCUUACAAGUAGUCAGAGCCCGUUAAUGGGUGAUGGCGUGCCUUUUGUAGAAUGAACCGGCGAGUUACGAUUUGAUGCAAGGUUAAGCAGUAAAUGUGGAGCCGUAGCGAAAGCGAGUCUGAAUAGGGCGUUUAGUAUUUGGUCGUAGACCCGAAACCAGGUGAUCUACCCUUGGUCAGGUUGAAGUUCAGGUAACACUGAAUGGAGGACCGAACCGACUUACGUUGAAAAGUGAGCGGAUGAACUGAGGGUAGCGGAGAAAUUCCAAUCGAACCUGGAGAUAGCUGGUUCUCUCCGAAAUAGCUUUAGGGCUAGCCUCAAGUGAUGAUUAUUGGAGGUAGAGCACUGUUUGGACGAGGGGCCCCUCUCGGGUUACCGAAUUCAGACAAACUCCGAAUGCCAAUUAAUUUAACUUGGGAGUCAGAACAUGGGUGAUAAGGUCCGUGUUCGAAAGGGAAACAGCCCAGACCACCAGCUAAGGUCCCAAAAUAUAUGUUAAGUGGAAAAGGAUGUGGCGUUGCCCAGACAACUAGGAUGUUGGCUUAGAAGCAGCCAUCAUUUAAAGAGUGCGUAAUAGCUCACUAGUCGAGUGACACUGCGCCGAAAAUGUACCGGGGCUAAACAUAUUACCGAAGCUGUGGAUUGUCCUUUGGACAAUGGUAGGAGAGCGUUCUAAGGGCGUUGAAGCAUGAUCGUAAGGACAUGUGGAGCGCUUAGAAGUGAGAAUGCCGGUGUGAGUAGCAAAAGACGGGUGAGAAUCCCGUCCACCGAUUGACUAAGGUUUCCAGAGGAAGGCUCGUCCGCUCUGGGUUAGUCGGGUCCUAAGCUGAGGCCGACAGGCGUAGGCGAUGGAUAACAGGUUGAUAUUCCUGUACCACCUAUAAUCGUUUUAAUCGAUGGGGGGACGCAGUAGGAUAGGCGAAGCGUGCGAUUGGAUUGCACGUCUAAGCAGUAAGGCUGAGUAUUAGGCAAAUCCGGUACUCGUUAAGGCUGAGCUGUGAUGGGGAGAAGACAUUGUGUCUUCGAGUCGUUGAUUUCACACUGCCGAGAAAAGCCUCUAGAUAGAAAAUAGGUGCCCGUACCGCAAACCGACACAGGUAGUCAAGAUGAGAAUUCUAAGGUGAGCGAGCGAACUCUCGUUAAGGAACUCGGCAAAAUGACCCCGUAACUUCGGGAGAAGGGGUGCUCUUUAGGGUUAACGCCCAGAAGAGCCGCAGUGAAUAGGCCCAAGCGACUGUUUAUCAAAAACACAGGUCUCUGCUAAACCGUAAGGUGAUGUAUAGGGGCUGACGCCUGCCCGGUGCUGGAAGGUUAAGAGGAGUGGUUAGCUUCUGCGAAGCUACGAAUCGAAGCCCCAGUAAACGGCGGCCGUAACUAUAACGGUCCUAAGGUAGCGAAAUUCCUUGUCGGGUAAGUUCCGACCCGCACGAAAGGCGUAACGAUUUGGGCACUGUCUCAACGAGAGACUCGGUGAAAUCAUAGUACCUGUGAAGAUGCAGGUUACCCGCGACAGGACGGAAAGACCCCGUGGAGCUUUACUGUAGCCUGAUAUUGAAAUUCGGCACAGCUUGUACAGGAUAGGUAGGAGCCUUUGAAACGUGAGCGCUAGCUUACGUGGAGGCGCUGGUGGGAUACUACCCUAGCUGUGUUGGCUUUCUAACCCGCACCACUUAUCGUGGUGGGAGACAGUGUCAGGCGGGCAGUUUGACUGGGGCGGUCGCCUCCUAAAAGGUAACGGAGGCGCUCAAAGGUUCCCUCAGAAUGGUUGGAAAUCAUUCAUAGAGUGUAAAGGCAUAAGGGAGCUUGACUGCGAGACCUACAAGUCGAGCAGGGUCGAAAGACGGACUUAGUGAUCCGGUGGUUCCGCAUGGAAGGGCCAUCGCUCAACGGAUAAAAGCUACCCCGGGGAUAACAGGCUUAUCUCCCCCAAGAGUUCACAUCGACGGGGAGGUUUGGCACCUCGAUGUCGGCUCAUCGCAUCCUGGGGCUGUAGUCGGUCCCAAGGGUUGGGCUGUUCGCCCAUUAAAGCGGUACGCGAGCUGGGUUCAGAACGUCGUGAGACAGUUCGGUCCCUAUCCGUCGUGGGCGUAGGAAAUUUGAGAGGAGCUGUCCUUAGUACGAGAGGACCGGGAUGGACAUACCUCUGGUGUACCAGUUGUCGUGCCAACGGCAUAGCUGGGUAGCUAUGUGUGGACGGGAUAAGUGCUGAAAGCAUCUAAGCAUGAAGCCCCCCUCAAGAUGAGAUUUCCCAACUUCGGUUAUAAGAUCCCUCAAAGAUGAUGAGGUUAAUAGGUUCGAGGUGGAAGCAUGGUGACAUGUGGAGCUGACGAAUACUAAUCGAUCGAAGACUUAAUCAA